GGUAGCUCGUCAGGCUCAUAACCUGAAGGCCGCAGGUUCAAAUCCUGCCCCCGCA
rnacentral:tRNA from 9 species